ACAACUUUGUUCCUAACCCUCGCUAACACAGACCAACCCUCUUUGCAGGAGACUUCGCUGGGGCAGUGAGAUUUUUGGAGUUUCGUGGUUUUUCUUUUUUUUAUACAUCUAUAUUUAUAUUUUUUUUUUUUUAAAUUUCACUUAGAAACCCAGGAUGCACAGACCGUGUUCUGGCUUGGCAUGCCAAGACUUUGCAAGGAGCUGUUGUGCCAGAGUAGCAGACCCGGUGGAUGACUCCACAGAACAGGACAAAGAGAAGUCCAUAAAGGUGCUUUUGCUCGUGAAGCGCACUUGACAGUCCCGGCUCUGUUGCCUGCAGUGGAACUGCCCAGUUUGCAAUCACUUGGAGAUGAGGUGCUUUAGGAGUAGCCAGCAAAUCUAUUUAUUGCAGAUCAGUGGCUCUAACAGAGGCCCAAGUUCCCGUCUUGGGCAGCUUGGUGCAUCUCUUGGUUUUGAAAGUUCUAGACCUUCUCCUGAUACUAAAGCCCUGGGUACAAACACAUUCCUUGUUGCUGUUUAAUUAUUGGCAUGCCUCACGCCUCCAUCUUUCUGGAUUCCCAGUUCUUAUAGAUUUUAGUGUAUUUGGAUACUCAGUGCAGAGCUGUUUUCAUAAAUGGUAGUUGGUUUCCUGGCCAUCAUGCCUCCAAGAGAUGACAUCUCCCCGCUGGUCCCUCUGCACCUCUUCAUGAGUCUCUGCUUCUGCUGCAAGGACUAUGAACCCAGGCUUCUCCAGGCUUAGUGCAAUGGGUUUCCCAGCUACCUGUGACCCAUCAUAGAUGUUAAACGUGGCUUGUUCUUCUGGUGUGAUCUCAAAUCCCAAGAGGUAUAUUUGGUGUAGUCUACCCUGGCAAAUCACUUACCUGACACCCAGCUAUGUUUUAUUGAAACAAUCACUUGCGUUCAAGAACGUGAUGGUUUUCAAACGAGCAUUUGGAGACAGACUUUAUUUGUUCCACUAAGUCAUGCUUUACCUGGGAAUCUUCCCCAGAUCUUGAACUCGUUGUCCAUGUUUUUAGGUGUGAAGCACAGAACCUGGCAUGGGCUUGGCCUGGCCAACUUGCACAGACCUGAAGGAAUAUUGCUCACAAUUUAGGGUUAGUGUGGAACAGAAACUGUUCCAAAUAGACUCUUAAGAUGAGAUCCACCCCUUCUGGAGGUUGAGUUUAGCAGGAUGGAUGAAGAUGAUCCUGUGUCCCUGUCUCUCUGGGUCCAGUGCCAGGGAAUGAUCACAGGCACUUUUAACUCACCGGUUAAAGUGAUGGAAUACGUGAGUUGCCACUAAAGAAUCUAUAAGUCUAUCUAGCAAAAGCAGACUUUAAAUUGCUACACAGACUUGUAUCUCUAUUGUUUAACUUUUUGGAGCUGCACAAACAGAAUAAGAAUUAAAAGCACUGAGCAAAAACAUUUUCAUCAUUAACAUGUUGAACUGUUAAAGAGGCAGCAAAGGAAGGACUGAAGAUAGCUGAGGUGAUAGUACAGUUGACUGGCAUCCCAUGGAAAAGGACAAAGAAGUCCCAACAUCGCAGAAAUCCUACUGAGGAGAGCUUUUGGAUUCUGAAUUGAAUGACUGGUUGGACUGUGUGUGGACACUCAGACAGGCAACAGAGAAAAAGAAUUUCUCCAUCAUCAAGGUCUUGGUGGUUGGGAUGUUCCUGUACAUCAGAUGCUGAGCAGCAUUACGAAGUGCUCUUUAUACACUUCUGGAUGCUAGGAUUUAUAAAUCAAGCCAAAAACAAGCUACAAAAUUCUGCUUCUGCAGACAACCAAGUGGGGGAAAGUGACCCAAGACCCAAACUCCAGAGAUUUUAUUUGCUGUUGUGCCUUGGGCAGAGAUCUCAGUGUUUGUUGCCUCAGGAAGUGCUGCAGAGAUGCUAAAGCACCCAACCCACACCCCAGUAACCUCCCAACAUCAUAUUGAUGUGGCCACAGACAAGUUGUGAAAGAUGAGCAGCUUGUUGGUAAAGAUUUGAUCCCAAGCAGACUGAAAUCGAUGGCAAGCUCUCAAUAGGCUGUGACAGGUGUCUGAUGAAGCUUCACAAUCCCCUGUCCUCCCACACCUUUUAACUUCUCCUACCCAUUGCUCUCUUUAUCUGCUCUGAACAUCAUGGUCUGUUUGUCCCAGCAUCAUGAGGAAUUCUUGUUGUCCUAACUUUUGGGAAGAGGCGGUGACCUGAGUGUGUCUGCAGUUGCUUUGGCGUGGAGAUCCUGUGGGAUCCUGUGAGUGGAAUCAUACAAUUAUGGAGUCAUAGAAUGUCCUGAGCUGGAUGGGCCCACAAGGAUCAUGGACUCCAACCCCUGUCCAUGCACAGGACACCCCACAGGUCACCCCGUGUGUCUGAGGACGUUGUCCAGUCUCUUCUUGAACACUGUCAGGCUGGGGCUGUGACACCUCCCUGGGGAGCCUGUUCAGUGUCCAGCACCUCUGGGUCAAGAACCUUUUCCUCAUGUCCCACUGACCCUCCCUGGCACAUCUUCUGCCAUUCCCUGGGUCUGUCACUGUCACAGAGCAGAGCUCAGCCUGCCCCUCCUGCUCCUGCUGAACCUGCAGCCCAUGAGCUCUGCCCUCAGUCUGCUCUGCUCCAGCUGAACAAACCCAGGGACUUCAGCCGCUCAUACGGCUUCCCCUCCAAACCUUCACCAGCUUCGUAGCCUCUUCCAGACAUUGUCCAGCAGCUAAGUAGAAGAUACUUGUUGUCUCCAACCCUGUUCAUGUGUGGCUUGCAGUGACUCUUGGCUCUAAGUUUUUCCCACUGAAAUGGGUAGAAAGAUGACUAGAAAAACAACGUCAGGUUUCAGUUGUGUCUUCAGUUGUGUCAGCCUAGAUCCCUGAAGCCCUAAAAUGGCAGGCAUAUCUCACCCAGGAGCAUGACCCGUCUCACGGGGAUGAAGACUAGGUUGCCUAUGAAGCGGACAGACUUACUUUUAGUCUUCUCUGUUGCAAAAUGAAAUUCGAUGUGUACAUGCUAAAAUUAUCCUGGGGAUAUUUCAUGUUAGCCUGAACAAAUAUUUAUAGUUUCUACAGCAAACAUUAAUUUUAAAUGUAAUUUCUAAGAGCAAAUGACAGUUACCCAAAAGAGUGUGAUUUCAAAAUUUCACACAUAGAUACCUUCUUGUGCUGCUGACUGACAGUUUUAUUUACUGAGGGUCUUUUCAAUCACAUUGGUCUGUCUAGUUUGGCAAUAUUGACUCUUAUAGACUGCUUCAAUAUGCCCAGAAAUGAAAAAAAUGAGGAAACUAGAGGUUUGGCCGCUCAAGAAAAGUCUUGUUGCCUUGACAAUGUCAGUAUAAAGGUCCUUCUGUAUUGUGCUAACACACAAACCACUGCAAACUCAACCACUGUAGGUGCCAAAGUGUCCGAAGGGAUCCUUUGGUUUAUUUUAAAGACACUGCAGCAAAGGAACGUUGUAGUUACACUGGAAACAUGCCUCUCCUUCCCCUCGGUGCUCUAACUUCUGUCACUUUUAUUUCUUUUAGCCUUUCUUCCUUUCUCCAUCAGAAUCCACCAGCAGGAAGAAAUGGAGCGCCUGGGGAAGGUGAUGGGACCAUGGAGUCUCCUGGGUUUGUUCUCAGUGUGUUUCACUGAUGAGUGUGAGCUGACCUGUCCUUGGUGGAAUCACCCCGUGGUCAAUGUGAUGUCAAGAGAAUGACUCAAACUGCACAGCAAAGGGUAAUAGAUGGAUGACCCGGGAUGACAUGACAGAGAAGGUUGACAUGACAGAUGUCUGAUUCAGUGUGUUGGGGAAGGCAUGGAACGUACGUGACCUGUGGUCCGUUGAUGCAGCACUAAGCAAUGGUAUCAGAGCACUUGAUUUGCACGUUGACUCUGGUUCAGUGGUGGAGGGUGGCUUAGCUGUGUGCUAGAUGUUAAACUGCAUGUUUGGGAACUUCUAGGCAUGGCCAGAAACAGAAACUGAGAAGGUGGGUUCCUCUAGACCAUGGUCCUUUAGGGGGUUUCAAGUCUUAGCAGCAGCUGAGUUCGCUGUUUUGGAGACCUAAAUUUUGGUCUUAGUAUCUAAAGUGGAGGCAAAAUAGCGAAUUUCUUCUUUGAUGGCUCUAGCCAACAGUCCUGGAGUAAACCAUUACAAAAAAGUAAUGUAAAGAGCUGAAUAAAUCCUUCCCAAAAGCAUGAAUGAGCUGUAUGAGUCCCAUCUUAAACUACCCAAAACCUGCAUGUUGCUGAGAGUUGUGUUUGUUGCUAACGUACAGCUGGUAACACUAACAUUUCUCUCUAAACUUACCUGUUCCAUAGUUUUCUUGGCCAAAUCUCCUGUCUCCUAGAUCCUUAUGUUCCCUCUGGCUCCAACAGACUGUCCUCCUCUGUGCUUUCUGGUUCUUUACAUCUCAGUUUAUGUUAACUGGGCACACCAAGGCAUUCGUUAUGGGGCAACAGCAAUCUCAUAUUAACACCUGAGCUGUGUGACGUAAAGAAGGACCUCAAUGAGUAUUCCAUGACCUCUGAUCUUCUUUGGACAGGAUUAUUUCCAGGUAUCUUCUUGACAUGCUCGACCACCAAUGAUCAGGGUGGGUACGCUCCAGCACGUUGACAUUGCACAGACAAGCCUGCAUACCUCUCACUCCUGUUAGGUACCUCAUGUCCAUGUUUAGUCCAAAAACACCUAUGUAUUAAAGCUCGUGGCUGAUGCGGGAUGGAGGGAAUGUGCCUCUCACGUUUCCCUGCCUGUAUGUCCGGUGGAGCAGUUGAUGUGUCAGGCUGGUAGGUUCCUACAGGAGAGGUGGCCACAGGGAAGAAGUAUCCACUGUCAUAGGAAAAUAGAUCUUCAGCUGUUCAGAUGAGCACCAUGAUGUUGUUUUUACUUUAUUUUUUUUUUUUAAUUCUACUUUGCCGAAGACACAGCAAUGAAGCAAAGUCAGGCUUUAGCAGGAGGUCUAAUGGCUGUGGAGGGGAUGGUAACAGAAAGCUCUGAGUUCAGCAAAACUCUUUAGCAUUGUUUUUAGUGUUUUAGGAAUAGCUCUAUGGCUUUUUUUUUCCCCUGAAAAUAUCCUUACAUCACUCUUUAAAUAUAUAUAUUUUUUUUCAAAAUAUUCUAAGCUCACGGUUUAGAAAUCCUGCACUCAGGAUACUUUGUCUUCCAGUGAUGACAGUAACUCCUUCGAAACAAAUUUUUGCUGCAAUAUCCCAGAAGAUCUUGUGGUUAAGGACUGAGACUUCUCAUUUUACAUUUUUGCAGCUCUGGUGGAGUAAGCUGCUGUAGUACCUGGUGUCAUACCCAAACUCAGGAAACCUGAGUUGUGUUCUCAACUUUACCAAUGACUCCUCAUAUGAUUUGGUGGCUCAGGUUCCUUAUCUGUCCCUGUAUUUCUUGCUUGUAAAACAUGGGAAAUAAUUGCUUCUAUGUGUGUCCUGUUGUUUCCUUCAGGAGGGAAGUGUCUCUCCUUCUGUUUGUGCAGACCUGAGCUAGAACAUCAAGGGACAGCUAUGAAUCACAGACCUAAUAAUCAAAACAUUUCUUAUUAUUAACAACACCGCUACUACUGAACAUAUGAGCAGAACUGGAAUUUCUGUCCUUGCAUGUGAAGGGCAGAGUGAAUGAUAAAUAGUGCCUCUCGUGGUUUAAUUUUUCUUCUUUUUAUGCAUAUAUAUCUUGUUCUAUGGUCAGGGGGGUCACAGGAAAUAUGCGAAGUGAGAUGCUGAGUGCUGGUUCCUCCACCAUUGCCAGUAAGUCAGAAAUUCUCUAAGGACACCUUGUCUCAGUGCCGGGUGCCACUGGACUGGAACUGUCACAGACUUUGAAUAAAAACCUCUUUCUUUCACUGGAA